UGCGUAGGCGGUUGCCUAAGUUUGGUGUGAAAUCUCCCGGCUUAACUGGGAGGGUGCGCUGAAGACUGGGCGACUUGAGUAUGGGAGAGGGUAGUGGAAUUUCCGGUGUAGCGGUGAAAUGCGUAGAGAUCGGAAGGAACACCAGUGGCGAAGGCGGCUACCUGGCCUAAUACUGACACUGAGGCACGAAAGCGUGGGGAGCAAACA
rnacentral:rRNA from 1 species